AACAGGAUUAGAUACCCUGGUAGUCACGCCCUAAACGAUGUCUACUAGUUGUUGGUGGAGUAAAAUCCAUGAGUAACGCAGCUAACGCGUGAAGUAGACCGCCUGGGGAGUACGGUCGCAAGAUUAAAACUCAAAUGAAUUGACGGGGGCCCGCACAAGCGGUGGAUUAUGUGGAUUAAUUCGAUGCAACGCGAAAAACCUUACCUGGCCUUGACAUGUAACGAACUUUCCAUAGAUGGAUUGGUGCUCGAAAGAGAACGUUAACACAGGUGCUGCAUGGCUGUCGUCAGCUCGUGUCGUGAGAUGUUGGGUUAAGUCCCGCAACGAGCGCAACCCUUGCCAAUAAUUGCCAUCAUUUAGUUGGGCACUUUAUUGGGACUGCCGAUGACAAAUCGGAGGAAGGUGGGGAUGACGUCAAGUCCUCAUGGCCCUUAUGGCCAGGGCUUCACACGUAAUACAAUGGUCGGUACAGAGGGUUGCCAAGCCGCAAGGUGGAGCCAAUCCCAGAAAGCCGAUCGUAGUCCGGAUUGAGGUCUGCAACUCGACCUCAUGAAGUCGGAAUCGCUAGUAAUCGCGGAUCAGCAUGUCGCGGUGAAUACGUUCCCGGGCCUUGUACACACCGCCCGUCACACCAUGGGAGUGGGUUUUACCAGAAGUAGGUAGUCUAACCGCAAGGAGGACGCUUACCACGGUAGUAUUCAUGACUGGGGUGAAGUCGUAACAAGGUAACC
rnacentral:rRNA from 1 species